GCUGGAAUCGCUAGUAAUCGCGGAUCAGAAUGCCGCGGUGAAUACGUUCCCGGGUCUUGUACACACCGCCCGUCACACCAUGGGAGUCGGAAAUGCCCGAAGUCUGUGACCCAACCAUUAAGGAGGGAGCAGCCGAAGGCAGGUCGGAUGACUGGGGUGAAGUCGUAACAAGGUACC
rnacentral:rRNA from 1 species